rnacentral:rRNA from 1 species
GACGAACGCUGGCGGCGUGCCUAAUACAUACAAGUAGAACGCUGAAGGAGGAGCUUGCUUCUCUGGAUGAGUUGCGAACGGGUGAGUAACGCGUAGGUAACCUGCCUGGUAGCGGGGGAUAACUAUUGGAAACGAUAGCUAAUACCGCAUAACAGUAGAUAUCGCAUGAUAUCUACUUGAAAGGUGCAAUUGCAUCACUACCAGAUGGACCUGCGUUGUAUUAGCUAGUUGGUGAGGUAACGGCUCACCAAGGCGACGAUACAUAGCCGACCUGAGAGGGUGAUCGGCCACACUGGGACUGAGACACGGCCCAGACUCCUACGGGAGGCAGCAGUAGGGAAUCUUCGGCAAUAGACGGAAGUCUGACCGAGCAACGCCGCGUGAGUGAAGAAGGUUUUCGGAUCGUAAAGCUCUGUUGUAAGAGAAGAACGAGUGUGAGAGUGGAAAGUUCACACUGUGACGGUAUCUUACCAGAAAGGGACGGCUAACUACGUG